AUACUUACUUGGCAGGGGAGAUACCAUGAUCACGAAGGUGGUUUCCCCAGGGUGAGGCCUAUUGAUUGCAUGUCAGAUGUGCUGACCCCUGCGAUUUCCCCAAAAGUGGGAAAUUCAACUGUGUGACUUGUGAUAGUGGGGGACUGCAUUGGCAUUCUCCUC